rnacentral:tRNA from 1 species
CCGAUGAAACAUCCACCAAUUACGCUAGCGAUGGUAACACCAGCAGCAACUGGCAUAGCGAUCGCAAUAAUUCCU